rnacentral:tRNA from 1 species
CGGUGGCGUUGGCGUGGCUGUUGGCGCGCCGCGCUUUUCCCGGCAAGGCCUUGCUGGAGGCCUUGCUGCACCUGCCGCUGGUGCUGCCACCGG